UUUUUUCAAAUUUUAAAUGUUUAAUAUGUAUUUGGAUUAUCAAAGUGGGGAUAACAAUGUAGAUAUGAGUUGGGUCAAUGUGAGAUGACUUGUAAGUUGUGGGAGUUGACGUAAUACAAUUGGAGUGAAAGGGUGUAAAUGUUAUUUGUGCUAUAUAAGUCAAAAAAUGGGGCAGGAAACCACUAUCACUUUCCCUUUUCUUUUUUUCUCUUCUCCGGCGUCUCUCUCUCUCGGCUCUCACCCCUCUCACCCUUUCUCUUCAAUUUCAUCUCCUACGAGUGAGAUUUUUGAAAAAUCCCAAGCACUAAAGUUGUUCUACGCGACGAGAGCUUUCUAUUCAUCCAAGAAAAUUCGUGAUUGGAGCACUUCGAAGUUUCCUCCAUGUUCGGGCUGGCUUCUAACCUUCGAGGUACUCGCCAUGGCACCUAGCUUGGAUUGCAUGGAGUGCACAUUGAGACGUCUCUUGGGAGCUUCAUUGGAAUUAUUAAGGAGUUGCUUAUCAUCUAGUCUAAUUCAUGCUGUGUACUUCACCUGCAAUUGAAUGUAGUAACUUUUGGUUUGAACGUAUGUAAAGCUAUGUAUAAACUCAUCUUUUUGAUUAUUGUGAAGCCCUUUUAAUGGAAGACGUUUUGGAGACUUUUCGUUUAAAAAAAAAAAAAAAAAAUUUAGAGGAGGAGAGACUUUGAUUCUUUAGUUGGUUUGGCAUGACAGUUAAGGGUAAAUAUAGUUUGAGAGGAAGACUUUUGUUAUGGAAAAUAUAUUAUUAUUUUAGCUGAAAAUCGAGGGCGUGACAACUUGGUAUCAAAGCAUUUAGGUUAGAAAACUUUGAGACCGUGGGGAGACACUAGGUCUCAUGGGUCUAGCGUUUGCAUUUAAGACACCACUCAAGUGUGUAGGGGUGAAUGACGUUCAUUCUCUAAGUGAUUUUUUUGCAUAUAUCUUUACGUGAUUGGCGUAGUCAUGUUGACCCUUGUAUGGGAAAUAAGAGAACCUGACCUAUAUUUUAUGCCCUGUUCAAUGCUUGACCAGUGUGUGGUUUAUGUGAAUAAAGUGUUUAGGUGAUCACUUGUUUGCCGACUACUUGCUCAUGUACUUUGUGCUAUGUGGAAUAUAUGCUUAGGUGAUCUUACCCGCUUGAAAGUUGUAUGUUUGUAUCUUUGGUGUGUUGCGUGCUCUAGAAUUGUGGGCUUAGCUAUGGGAUUGGUUUGGGUUGUUAUAAUUAUAUAGCGUUUGAUUCGGAUAUGAGUUUGUGAAAUCUUGUGGGGUCGAUGACUGAGCAUGAUCUUUUCCUUUAGAUGAAAUACAAAUGGAAUGUGAAGUGUUGGAUUAAUCGGUCAUUUAUGGACCUGGUGAGUGAUAGACAAAUCAUUACAAGAAAGUUAAGGUGAGAAUUGUGGGGUUAAUUUGGGUCUUGGAGUUACGCUAUUUUAGCGAUUUUGUAUAUGGGUUCAUGAAGUUUGGUUGACAAAGAAAACUUAAAGGUUUGAAGUACUUUUGGUGUUUCCCUAUGAAUGAUAUAAGCAUGUGGUUGGUUAUCAAUUUUAUUUGCUUUUAUAAAAAUAAAUUAAAAAAAAAAAUAAGGGGAUUUAUCUUCUGCUAUGGAACUGGAUAAGGAUAGAUCAUGUGACGCUAUAGUUAAAGAGUUGUAUCUCUUUGUCGAUUUUAUGCUUUCAAAUAUGGCAUUAUUCGGUUGUGAAGGGUAUGCAUGUCUAAGUAACUCAACUUGCUUUGUCUUUUGUAAGUACGUGUCCUUGUAUCUUAUUAAGAAUUGAGAAAAAUGGAGUAAAAUUGUUAAACCCUUUUGGAAUUGAAACGCUUUCUAUUACUCUCAUGAGAUUAAGUUGGUAUAGGUGUCCCCGAAAUUAAGUGAUGGUAGAGUAUGAUUUGGUGAUGUUGUUUGAUUAAUUCGAACUCUAGUGUGAACCUGCGAUUAAUGUUAGUUUCAUGUUGAUUCUACACGGAAGGAAAUGUUGAAAUGAAAGAUUAGGCCUUGAAAGGAAAGUUCGGAUAUGUAGAACAUGAUGGGGUUAUUCUGGUGUAAGGAUUUUGAGUUACAAAGAAAAGGAAAAGAGGAAUCCAUAUGAGUAAUGAAUGAUGAGAUAGAAGAAAGUGUUUGGACUUAUUUUUCUUUCUUGUGAUCGAUGUAGGUCUCUUGGAUCUAGGUUUCGUGGUUGUUGACUUGUUGAACUCUCUCGGAUGUUGUGUUACCUGUGGUAAUGGUUGUGUUAUGUGUUUAAGGUGUUACAUGACAUGGUUGAUUUGGUUUAUUCUAAUUUCGAGGACGAAAUUCCUUUAAGGAGGAUAGGAUGUAGAGACUCAUAAUUAUUUUUUUCAAAUUUUAAAUGUUUAAUAUGUAUUUGGAUUAUCAAAGUGGGGAUAACAAUGUAGAUAUGAGUUGGGUCAAUGUGAGAUGACUUGUAAGUUGUGGGAGUUGACGUAAUACAAUUGGAGUGAAAGGGUGUAAAUGUUAUUUGUGCUAUAUAAGUCAAAAAAUGGGGCAGGAAACCACUAUCACUUUCCCUUUUCUUUUUUUCUCUUCUCCGGCGUCUCUCUCUCUCGGCUCUCACCCCUCUCACCCUUUCUCUUCAAUUUCAUCUCCUACGAGUGAGAUUUUUGAAAAAUCCCAAGCACUAAAGUUGUUCUACGCGACGAGAGCUUUCUAUUCAUCCAAGAAAAUUCGUGAUUGGAGCACUUCGAAGUUUCCUCCAUGUUCGGGCUGGCUUCUAACCUUCGAGGUACUCGCCAUGGCACCUAGCUUGGAUUGCAUGGAGUGCACAUUGAGACGUCUCUUGGGAGCUUCAUUGGAAUUAUUAAGGAGUUGCUUAUCAUCUAGUCUAAUUCAUGCUGUGUACUUCACCUGCAAUUGAAUGUAGUAACUUUUGGUUUGAACGUAUGUAAAGCUAUGUAUAAACUCAUCUUUUUGAUUAUUGUGAAGCCCUUUUAAUGGAAGACGUUUUGGAGACUUUUCGUUUAAAAAAAAAAAAAAAAAUUUAGAGGAGGAGAGACUUUGAUUCUUUA